rnacentral:rRNA from 1 species
GACGAACGCUGGCGGCGUGCUUAACACAUGCAAGUCGAACGGUGAUGCUCCAGCUUGCUGGCGUGGAUCAGUGGCGAACGGGUGAGUAACACGUGAGCAACCUGCCCCAGACUCUGGAAUAAGCGCUGGAAACGGCGUCUAAUACUGGAUACGAAACUGGCCCGCAUGGGCAUGGUUUGGAAAGUUUUUCGGUUUGGGAUGGGCUCGCGGCCUAUCAGCUUGUUGGUGAGGUAAUGGCUCACCAAGGCGACGACGGGUAGCCGGCCUGAGAGGGCGACCGGCCACACUGGGACUGAGACACGGCCCAGACUCCUACGGGAGGCAGCAGUGGGGAAUAUUGCACAAUGGGCGAAAGCCUGAUGCAGCGACGCCGCGUGAGGGAUGACGGCCUUCGGGUUGUAAACCUCUUUCAGCAGGGAAGAAGCGAAAGUGACGGUACCUGCAGGAGAAGCACCGGCUAACUACGUG